rnacentral:rRNA from 1 species
CAGAGGGGGCAAGCGUUGUUCGGAAUUACUGGGCGUAAAGGGCGCGUAGGCGGCCUUCUAAGUCAGACGUGAAAUCCCCGGGCUCAACCCGGGAACUGCGUCUGAUACUGGACGGCUCGAAUCCGGGAGAGGGAUGUGGAAUUCCAGGUGUAGCGGUGAAAUGCGUAGAUAUCUGGAGGAACACCGGUGGCGAAGGCGGCAUCCUGGACCGGUAUUGACGCUGAGGCGCGAAAGCCAGGGGAGCAAACGGGAUUAGAUACCCCGGUAGUCCUGGCCCUAAACGAUGAAUGCUUGGUGUGGCGGGUAUCGAUCCCUGCCGUGCCGAAGCUAACGCAUUAAGCAUUCCGCCUGGGGAGUACGGUCGCAAGGCUG